rnacentral:rRNA from 1 species
GCAGGCGGGCUGUAAGUCAGUGGGUGAAAUACUGCCGCUUAACGGUAGAACUGCCAUUGAUACUGCAAGUCUUGAAUAUGGUUGAGGUAGGCGGAAUGUGUUGUGUAGCGGUGAAAUGCAUAGAUAUGACACAGAACGCCGAUUGCGAAGGCAGCUUACUAAGCCAUUAUUGACGCUGAGGCACGAAAGCGUGGGGAGCGAACAGGAUUAGAUACCCUGGUAGUCCACGCCGUAAACGAUGAUCACUCGCUGUCUGCGAUACACAGUAGGCGGCUGAGCGAAAGCAUUAAGUGAUCCACCUGGGGAGUACGAUCGCAAGGUUGAAACUCAAAGGAAUUGACGGGGGCCCGCACAAGCGGAGGAACAUGUGGUUUAAUUCGAUGAUACGCGAGGAACCUUACCUGGGCUUAAAUGUAGAUUGCAUAACUUAGAAAUAGGUUUUCCCUUCGGGGCUAUUUACAAGGUGCUGCAUGGUUGUCGUCAGCUCGUGCCGUGAGGUGUCGGGUUAAGUCCCAUAACGAGCGCAACCCCUAUCGUUAGUUGCCAGCGGGUCAUGCCGGGGACUCUAGCGAGACUGCCACCGUAAGGUGAGAGGAAGGUGGGGAUGACGUCAAAUCAGCACGGCCCUUAUGUCCAGGGCUACACACGUGUUACAAUGGCCGAUACAAAGGGCAGCUACCAGGUGACUGGAUGCUAAUCUCUAAAGUCGGUCCCAGUUCGGAUUGGAGUCUGCAACCCGACUCCAUGAAGUUGGAUUCGCUAGUAAUCGGAUAUCAGCAAUGAUCCGGUGAAUACGUUCCCGGGCCUUGUACACACCGCCCGUCAAACCAUGGGAGCUGGGGGUGCCUGAAGUCUGUGACCGCAAGGAGCGGCCUAGGGUAAAACCAGUGACUGGGGUUAAGUCGUAACAAGGUAGCCGUA